rnacentral:rRNA from 1 species
CAGUCGCCACGGGAAUACAGAGGGUGCAAGCGUUAAUCGGAAUUACUGGGCGUAAAGCGCGCGUAGGUGGUUUGUUAAGUUGGAUGUGAAAUCCCCGGGCUCAACCUGGGAACUGCAUUCGAAACUGGCAGGCUAGAGUCUUGUAGAGGGGGGUAGACUUCCAGGUGUAGCGGUGAAAUGCGUAGAGAUCUGGAGGAAUACCGGUGGCGAAGGCGGCCCCCUGGACAAAGACUGACGCUCAGGUGCGAAAGCGUGGGGAGCAAACAGGAUUAGAUACCCCUGUAGUCCCUGUCUCUUAUAC